AUUGAACGCUGGCGGCAGGCCUAACACAUGCAAGUCGAACGAGUGGCGGACGGGUGCGUACUGUCUGGGAACCUGCCCGAUGGAGGGGGAUAACUACUGGAAACGGUAGCUAAUACCGCAUACCAUCGGAUGUGCCCAGAUGGGAUUAGCUUGUUGGUGGGGUAACGGCUCACCUAGGCGACGAUCCCUCGCUGGUCUGAGAGGAUGCCCAGCCACACUGGAACUGGGACACGGUCCAGAAUCCUACGGGAGGCAGCAGUGGGGAAUAUUGCACAAUGGGCGCAAGCCUGAUGCAGCCAUGCCGCGUGUAUGAAGAAGGCCUUCGGGUUGUAAAGUACUUUCAGCGGGGAGGCGUUACUCGCAGAAGAAGCACCGGCUAACUCCGUGCCAGCCGCCGCGGUAAUUC
rnacentral:rRNA from 1 species